UAUUUUUAAUUUUAACUAAAAAGCGCAUCAAUCCGAAGCGUGUCGAGUGAGGUGCUCCAUUCCCGUUCCCAUUGCAGUUGUAGUAAGGGUCGUUGCCGUCGUCGACUACUAGACCUGUUUCCUUCUUCAGGCUGAAUUGGAAUUUUUUGAAGUAGCAAGUGAAGCCUGAUGGAACCAGAUGAAAUAAAAUCCGGUGCAUUGGUUUCUCUACAAGAUCUGUGUCCAUCGUCUCCUUUUUUCAAACAAGGAGCAUCCCUCAGAGUAGUUGGAAAGUUACUCGAAUACUCUUUAGAAACAGGCCUAGCAACAAUUAUCGAUGGUGAUAACAGUUUAAUAGUUACUAUUGAGAAUCUGAAGGACCUUAAUUUUCAAGUUGACUCUGUCUACCAAUUCAUUGGCGAACUCCUUAUCCAACCUGAUCAUGAGGGAGUUUUGCAGGCACGUGUUGGUAGAAACGUCGACGGAAUUGAUCUCGAUCUUUAUCAUCAGUCCUUGCUGCUUUUGAGACAGUUUCAAGCCAAUCAUUUGAAUAAUUGAGCAACUUAACUUUGCAGGAUUAUUUUGUACACAACAAGGCAUCAUAUUUUUCUCAGAAUACAAAAAUAUGGAAGGAAAUUAUGUCAUCAAAGGAUGUGGAUGUUAGGUGAGUUGGAUUAUGCUGUGCAUGCUUCACGGGGUCAUUUAGCUGUCCAUGUAAGGCUCUACGACAAACUUAAGGCCACCCUGGUUUUGGAAUCUGAAACUUGGGAGAGGUUGGGGGUAUUUAAGGCAACAGGGAAUACAUUUUAAUUUGCCUCAGCAUACUCUUUUUGUAAAUUGAGUAUUCUCCGCGUAUAAUUGUAAAUACUAAUCACUAAAUUUUCCAUCAAGAGUUUUAACAUUUUACUUUCUCAAAAUUAAAUUCGAACUCAAAACCUGAA